UCAGGUCAAGUAAAGGCAAUGGAGGAGGAUGAAAACCAGGCAGACUGGCAGGUGGCAGAGAGGGCAGAUGGUGUUUCUGCAGACCUGUCCAUGUGAAGGAAAGCUCGCAAUGGGCCAAAAUCCAAAUGCAAAAUAUUUCCUUUGUGCAAUGGCACAAACACAUGCAGCAGUGGCCUGAUCUGUUGACCCAAUGCUCUUGGCAGUUCGAAAUAAGCCAGCGCUGACCUACUUUUCUACUGACCUGUUUAUGCAAGCCUCUAUGCGCUCCAGUUACAAAAAGGGGGACAAAGGGGAAGCUGAAUCCAUAGGACUGUGCUACUGUUGCCACUGCUGUUGUUUGGGGAUCAUUAGCUGUAGCGCUGCCCCACCUCUCCAC